rnacentral:rRNA from 1 species
UACGUAGGGUGCAAGCGUUGUCCGGAAUUAUUGGGCGUAAAGAGCUUGUAGGCGGUUUGUCGCGUCUGCUGUGAAAUUUCGGGGCUCAACCCCGAACUUGCAGUGGGUACGGGCAGACUAGAGUGUGGUAGGGGAGACUGGAAUUCUUGGUGUAGCGGUGAAAUGCGUAGAUAUCGGGAGGAACACCGGUGGCGAAGGCGGUUCUCUGGGCCUUACCUGACGCUGAGGAGCGAAAGCGUGGGGAGCGAACAGG